rnacentral:rRNA from 2 species
GGCUUAGAACUAACGCUGGCAGUGCGUCUUAAGCAUGCAAGUCAAACGGGAUGUAGCAAUACAUUCAGUGGCGAACGGGUGAGUAACGCGUGGAUGAUCUACCUAUGAGAUGGGGAUAACUAUUAGAAAUAGUAGCUAAUACCGAAUAAAGUCAAUUAAUUUGUUAAUUGAUGAAAGGAAGCCUUUAAAGCUUCGCUUGUAGAUGAGUCUGCGUCUUAUUAGCUAGUUGGUAGGGUAAAUGCCUACCAAGGCGAUGAUAAGUAACCGGCCUGAGAGGGUGAACGGUCACACUGGAACUGAGAUACGGUCCAGACUCCUACGGGAGGCAGCAGCUAAGAAUCUUCCGCAAUGGGCGAAAGCCUGACGGAGCGACACUGCGUGAAUGAAGAAGGUCGAAAGAUUGUAAAAUUCUUUUAUAAAUGAGGAAUAAGCUUUGUAGGAAAUGACAAAGUGAUGACGUUAAUUUAUGAAUAAGCCCCGGCUAAUUACGUGCCAGCAGCCGCGGUAAUACGUA